CCCUGGUUAGCUCAGUUGGUAGAGCGCUCCACUUGUAAUGGAGAGGUCCCGGGUUCGAUACCCGGAGCAGGCG
rnacentral:tRNA from 1 species